CGGGGAUCCAGUUGGGUUUUUAUCAUUGAGUGUAGUGGAGGACCGACUGCAGACUGGCUCCCUCUCCUCUCCUCACACUCGAAUCAAGAGCUCUACUUUGUCCCGUUCAGAUCCACAGGGCACAAUCAUGGAGGAAAUGGACUUUGAGCGGCGCCGGGAGCUGAGGAGGCAGAAGAGGGAGGAGAUGCGCCUGGAGGCCGAACGGUUGGCGAGGAACGAUGAUGAUGAGGAGGAGGCGGCCCGCGAGAGGAGGCGCAGGGCACGCCAGGAGAGGAUGAAGAGCAGGGAUGGCGAGGAGAGCAGCGGGCAACCGGAGAGCGUUGUCACGACCAACAGCCACAGUGUGACAGAGACAGUGUCUGUGAGCAGCUCUUACGGAGGAGGCGGCGGCGGGGACGAGGAGGAGCAGGCCCUGCUGGAUCGCAUGGCCAAACGCGAGGAGAGACGGCAGAGACGCAUGAAGGAGGCGCUAGAAAGACAGAAGGAGGUGGACGGCACCGCAACGGAGGUCAACGACAGCGUCACCACGGAGAAAAACAACGCAGAAGAGGAGAGGCCCUCCUCCUGGCGUAGGGGUCGCUCCCGUGACAACGAGUACGAAGAGGAGAAGACGGAGACGUACAGCUCAAGGAGAGAGGAGAAGGCACGAGAGGAGCCGAGGGAGGAAGAAGAGGCUGCUCCUGAGGAGGAAGAGGAGGCAGAUGAGGGAGUAGAAGAAGAGGAGGAGGAGGAGAAAGUGGAGGUGGUGGAGGACAAACCGAGGAGGUCUUACUUGAGAGAACAGGAAUCAACUGAAGAACCUAAUAUGCAAAACAAGGAAGUCAGUGAGGUUUCAAACCAGGCCAAGUCAACAAAUUCAGAGGCUGAUGAGGGUGCAGUAGCAUCAGAGGAGGCUGAGGAGGUGAAUGAGAGAGGCCGGGCCAAGGAGGAGAGAGAGGAGCAGAGGAAGCAGAACGGAGGGCUGCACGAGGACGAGGAGGCGGCUCCCCAACAGCACAGGAAACCUGAGAGGACCCUCAGUCGCGGGAGUGUGCGUUCCCCCGAGGUGUCCGCGGGUGACGACCAGGACGACGCUGCCCGCCUGGAGGCAGAGCUCAAGCUGGAGGAGCUGAAGCGUCGCCGCGACGACGCGGAGAGCGAGGAGUUCGAGAGGAUGAGGCAGAAGCAGCAGGAGGCCGAAGUGGAGCUGGAGGAGCUGAAGAGGAAGAGGGAGGAGAGGAGGAAGGUGCUGGAGGAGGAGGAGAGGCAGAAGAAGCAGGAGGAGGCGGAGAGAAAAGCCAGAGAGGAGGAGGAGAAGAGGAAGAUGAAGGAGGAGAUUGAAAGGAGGAGAGCAGAGGCAGCUGAGAAGAGACAGAAGGUGGAGGAUACUAUGGACGGGGAGGACAGACCCUUCAAGUGUGUCAGCCCUCGAGGCUCCUCUCUGAAGAUUGGAGAGAGAGCAGAGUUCCUGAACAAGUCGGCACAGAAGAGCACAGUGAAGACGUCUCAUUCUCCUGUGGUGUCCAAGAUAGACAACAGGCUGGAGCAGUACACCUCCGCUGCUCAGCAGAGAGAGAACAAGGAGUCUCGAUCACCUCGCUCUGGAGCCGUGGAUCUCCCCAUGGUUACCGACAGCAUCCGAAACAUCAAGAGCAUGUGGGAGAAAGGCAACGUGUUCGGCUCACCCGGCGGGGGCAGCCAGUUCAAGGAAGCAGCUGUGAUGAAGACAGGCGUGGCGGGUCGCAUUAACGACUGGCUGAAUAAAACCCCGGAGAGCGGCAAAACACCAGGAGGAAGGCCAACGGACCUGAAGCCUGUUGACGUCACCAACAAGAGGAGUUUAUGGGAAAACAAGGGUGCCUCUCCAACCAAGAACUCUCAUAGCUAGUUGACCUCACCGUUUAAUCUGGAAUAAGCCUGGAGAGGUGGCAGGCAGAGGGGAGACCAAAUCAGUCGCCAAUGGUAUGGGCCACUAAUGUCUUGAAGGAGCCACUAAAGCUGGGGACCACGACAAUCCAAGACUCUUCCUUUGACUUUGUCUUAAGAACCAAAUAAUGAUCACACUCACGAGAGGGACCCCACGAAAACGGAGGGACAGGAGAGACGCUGUCCAAGCACUGUACCCAAACAGCAUCAUAUUUUUGUACGGUUGCCACGUAUAGUGCCUUUGCACAUUGAUUUUUGCUUUCUAAAAGAAACAAAAUGCUGUGAAAUUUGGACAUCUGUAAUUACUAAUAAUGACUUUUUUUACAAUCCUGCCAGGAAGAAAAAAACAAAAACAAAUUGAAUUUAGAUUUAUCUGUUGUACUCCAUGCCGACAGAGUAGAAAAAAUUCUGAGAGAUGGGUGAAAUCAGUUCUCUCCCUCUUACAGUACAUUUUCCAUCUCUUUUUUUAUUUAUAUUUAAAGCAAAAGCUUCACACAUUGCUAUUUUAUUCAACGUUCACCAGUUCAGGAUAGAAAUAUAAGCACUUCUAGAAUUUAGCUGAUUUCACUUUUAUUAUGUCUUACCAAUAGUGCAGCAAUGGUCUGAGUAAUAUAUGUUAGCACAUGUGAUGUUUUGAAUAUCAUACUGUAUCUUAUAUAACAUCUUUAUACUCAUAACAAAAGGUAUUUUUGCUUUUUUUGUUUUGUUUUGUAUCCAGAAACUAUUCACCCACAGGUGAUCACGGUGGUGAUAGGAGUGUUGAAUAUUCAGAAGGCCAUUAUGACUUUUAUUAUCCUUUAUGUCAUUUUAUUUAUGUUUUAAUGUGUUUUGUCCUUUUCCAUUUCUAGCUGUUUUGUAGCUUUUUGUACCUGUUUGAUCACUUUAAAAUCUUCAGACAUUCCUCUUAAAAAAAAAAAAAAAAGCAGCUGCACAUGGUGCCUUCGCUGUAUGUUUUACAAUGUAGGAAAUCUGGAAACCAACCUGUUUUUUUAUUCUACCUUAACUUCAACUAACUUCUUCAUUGCCUCUAUGCACACUCUUAUGCUCAGCGAUCAUUUUCUAAUUGAGGGCAUACAAAUUAAAAUCAGGGUGCCUACGCAUAUAGCAGAUAAUAGUACAAUACAAGGAUAUUUACCACUAUGUAAGUCUUCUGGCCUUAUGAUUGCAAUGAAACCAUUUAUGACAGCUGAGGUACAGUACAUGAUAGCCUCAAAGCAACUCAGUAUGAUAUUGUGAUUUUCAUGUUUAUUUCUUUAUGACAUGGUCUUAAGUAGCACAUUCCCUUUCAUAGUUUUGGCACGGCACAAGCUUUGAUAAUAUGAACUGUUUGCCAGGGCAUUAAAUUGAUCCAUCUUACUGCUCAGAAAUCUGACAAUCACAUUCCAUGGCUCCUGAAAAGAGCAGGGGAGCUGGACCAAAACAUUUUAAGUGUGAUUUAAUGUGACAUUUACGUUGUUGUUUUUUUAAAAUUCAGUGGUUUCAUAAUGCCGUAUUGUUUUUUUUUUUUUUACAACCUUGUGUCCAUUUUAUGUUUUUUAAGUUCUUUCAUGUUUAACCAGACACUUGUUUGUGUAGCGCGAAGCCUAUGCAAAACACACUAUCUGUAGCCUCUUUAAACACUCCCAAUGUCAUAGUGGGCAGUUUCCAACUGGAUGAAUGUUUUAAACAUUGUACGCUUCACUCAACAACAACAAUAAAGACAUUGAGGUAU